GACGAACGCUGGCGGCGUGCUUAACACAUGCAAGUCGAACGGUAAGGCCCUUCGGGGUACGCGAGUGGCGAACGGGUGAGUAACACGUGGGUGAUCUGCCCUGCACUUCGGGAUAAGCCUGGGAAACUGGGUCUAAUACCGGAUAGGACCACUGCCUGCAUGGGUGGUGGUGGAAAGCUUUUGCGGUGUGGGAUGGGCCCGGGGCCUAUCAGCUUGUUGGUGGGGUGAUGGCCUACCAAGGCGACGACGGGUAGCCGGCCUGAGGGGGUGACCGGCCACACUGGGACUGAGAUACUGCCCAGACUCCUACGGGAGGCAGCAGUGGGGAAUAUUGCACAAUGGGCGCAAGCCUGAUGCAGCGACGCCGCGUGAGGGAUGACGGCCUUCGGGUUGUAAACCUCUUUCAGCACCGACGAAGCGCAAGUGACGGUAGGUGCAGAAGAAGGACCGGCCAACUACGUGCCAGCCGCCGCGGUAA
rnacentral:rRNA from 1 species